rnacentral:rRNA from 1 species
GAUUAACGCUGGCGGCGUGCAUAACACAUGCAAGUCGAACGAUGAAACUUAACUGAUUUCUUCGGAAUGAUUUUAAGUGGAUUAGUGGCGGACGGGUGAGUAACGCGUGAGUAACCUGCCUUGGAGAAGGGGAUAGCCUUUGGAAACGAAGAAUAAUACCCUAUGAUAUGAUAAUAUCUCAUGAAAUUAUCAUCAAAGAUUUAUCGCUCUAAGAUGGACUUGCGUCUGAUUAGUUAGUUGGUGAGGUAACAGCUCACCAAGGCAGCGAUCAGUAGCCGGCUUGAGAGAGUGUACGGCCACAUUGGGACUGAGACAAGGCCCAGACUCAUACGGGAGGCAGCAGUGGGGAAUUUUGCACAAUGGGGGAAACCCUGAUGCAGCGACGCCGCGUGAUUUAGAAGGCCUUCGGGUUGUAAAAAUCUUUUGUAUGGGAAGAAAAUGACAGUACCAUACGAAUAAGGACCGGCUAAUUACGUG